CUAACCAUCGGAGCAGCCCCAAUCCCAUUCCUACUUGCGUGCAAGCAGGAGGGGGCAAGGAUCCCUCAGCUGGGAAGGGAAGCUUCCUGUUGCCUAACUGAGAGAUCCCUGCCCCCUCCUGCUUGCUUGCAUGCAAGUAAGAGUUGUGAGGCUGCUCCGAUAGGUAG